rnacentral:rRNA from 1 species
CACGUAGGGUGCGAGCGUUGUCCGGAAUUAUUGGGCGUAAAGAGCUCGUAGGCGGUCUGUCGCGUCUGCUGUGAAAUCUCAGGGCUUAACCCUGAGCUUGCAGUGGGUACGGGCAGACUAGAGUGCGGUAGGGGAGACUGGAAUUCCUGGUGUAGCGGUGAAAUGCGCAGAUAUCAGGAGGAACACCGAUGGCGAAGGCAGGUCUCUGGGCCAACUAC